GGGGCCAGAUCGUCGCUCCGAGUUCUUUGAUCCCAAGGCGCGGCCUAAACGCCGCGCCCGUAUUUGAAACUUGGAGAGGAAAGUCCGGACACCACCGGGCAGGAUUCCCGUCGAGAAACGUCGUCGCGCCGCUGCGACCGGUCGCAAGGCCAUCGCGCGGAUCGCUUCUGCUCAAGCCGGGGCGGUGCGGGCCACAUCCCGCAUCGACGGAUAGUGUCACAGAGAACAAGUAGCCGGUGCGCGCUGCAAAGCGGGUGCCGGUCAUAGUGAAAAGGUGGGGUAAGAGCCCACCGCGCCGCCAGCAAUGGCGGUGGCAGGAAAAACCCAAUCCGGUGCAAGGCAAAAUAGGCGGCUGGGCGGCCCGUCCAACAGCCGCGGGUAUGCCGCAUUUCGCUUCGGCGAAGAGCUGCGCAAGCAGUCUAGAGAAAUGACGAUUACCGCGAUGGCCGAAAGUCCGUCGCGCGCACAGAAUCCGGCUUACCGGUCUCGAAG
rnacentral:RNase_P_RNA from 1 species